rnacentral:rRNA from 1 species
UGCAAGUCGACGGUAAGGCCCCCUUCGGGGGGUACACGAGUGGCGCACGGGUGAGUAACGCGUGGGCAAUCUACCCCCAGGUCUGGGACAACUCCGGGAAACUGGAGCUAAUACCGGAUAAGACCACGAGGUCUUCGGACUUCGCGGAAAAAGGUGGCCUCUUCUUGAAAGCUACCGCCUGUUGAUGAGCCCGCGUCCCAUUAGCUUGUUGGUGAGGUAACGGCUCACCAAGGCCGCGAUGGGUAGCUGGUCUGAGAGGAUGAUCAGCCACACUGGAACUGAGACACGGUCCAGACUCCUACGGGAGGCAGCAGUCGGGAAUUUUGGGCAAUGGGGGCAACCCUGACCCAGCAACGCCGCGUGAGGGAUGAAGGCCUUCGGGUCGUAAACCUCUGUCGGGAGGGAAGAAAGGCUUCCGUGAAAAUAUUGCGGAAACUUGACGGUACCUUCAAAGGAAGCGCCGGCUAACUCCGUGCCAGCAGCCGCGGUAAUACGGAGGGCGCAAGCGUUGUUCGGAAUUAUUGGGCGUAAAGAGCGUGUAGGCGGCUUGGUAAGUCGGGUGUGAAAGCCCGGGGCUCAACCCCGGAAUUGCAUUCGAAACUGCCUCGCUAGAGUCCCGGAGAGGAAGGCGGAAUUCUCGGUGUAGA